UACGGAGGGUGCGAGCGUUGUCCGGAAUCAUUGGGCGUAAAGUGUGCGCAGGCGGCAGAGCAAGUCGAGUGUGAAAGCCCCGGGCUUAACUUGGGAAUUGCGCUCGAAACUACUUUGCUGGAGUGUGGCAGAGGAAGGUGGAAUUCCACGUGUAGCGGUGAAAUGCGCAGAUAUCAGGAGGAACACCAAUGGCGAAGGCAGCUCGCUGGGACGGUACUGACGCUGAGACGCGAAAGCGUGGGGAGCAAACAGG
rnacentral:rRNA from 1 species